rnacentral:rRNA from 1 species
GAACUUAAGCAUAUCAAUAAGCGGAGGAAAAGAAACUAACAAGGAUUCCCCUAGUAACUGCGAGUGAAGCGGGAAAAGCUCAAAUUUAAAAUCUGGUGGUCCCGAGUUGGCUGCCCGAGUUGUAAUCUAGAGAAGUGCUUUCCGCGCUGGACCGUGUACAAGUCUCUUGGAACGGAGCGUCGUAGAGGGUGACAAUCCCGUCUUUGACACGGACUGCCAGGGCUUAUGUGAUGCGCUCUCGAAGAGUCGAGUUGUUUGGGAAUGCAGCUCAAAAUGGGUGGUAAAUUCCAUCUAAAGCUAAAUAUGGGCGAGAGACCGAUAGCGAACAAGUACCGUGAGGGAAAGAUGAAAAGAACUUUGAAAAGGGAGUUAAACAGUACGUGAAAUUGUUGAAAGGGAAACGAUUCAAGUCAGUCGCGUUGGCCGGUAAUCAACCCUUGCGAAGGCGGGGGCUUACUUUCCGUCUGACGGGUCAGCAUCAAUUUUGACCGUCAGAUAAAGGUUUGGGGAACGUGGCAUCUUCGGAUGUGUUAUAGCCCCUUGUCAGAUGUGACGGUUGGGAUUGAGGAACUUGGCACGCCCGCAAAGGGUCGGGGCUUUUUGCCCACGUAACGUGCUUUGGAUGCUGGCAUAAUGGCUUGAACCGACCCGUCUUGAAACACGGACCAAGGAGUCUAACAUGCCUGCGAGUGUUUGGGUGGCAAACUCGAGCGCGAAGUGAAAGUGAAACUUGUCGAGAUCUCUGUCGUGGGGAGCACCGACGCCCGGACCUGACCUUUUGUGAAGGAUCCGCGGUUGAGCAUGCAUGUUGGGACCCGAAA